rnacentral:rRNA from 1 species
GACGAACGCUGGCGGCGUGCCUAAUCCAUGCAAGUCGAGAGAGCGGCGGACGGGUGAGUAAUGUAUGAGGAUCUGCCCGAUAGAGGGGUAAAACUCAUGGCAACGGUGGCUAAUACCGCAUAAUCGCGUAUGACCACAUAUGGGAUGAGCUCAUAGUGGGGGUAAAGGCUCAACGGGGCGACGAUCUCUAGCUGGUCUGAGAGGAUGAUCAGCCACACUGGGACUGAGACACGGCCCAGACUCCUACGGGAGGCAGCAGUGGAGAAUAUUGCACAAUGGGCGCAAGCCUGAUGCAGCCAUGCCGCGUGUAUUAAGAAGGCCUUAGGGUUGUAAAGUACUUUCAGCGGGGAGGCGUUACCCGAAGAAGAAGCACCGGCUAACUCCGUGCCAGCCGCCGCGGUAAUUC